GUUUUCAAAAGCACAUACACUGAAAUUGGAAUGAUACAGAGAAGAUUGGCAUGGCCCCUGCACAAGGAUGAUAUGCAAAUUAACAAAGCAUUUCACAUUAAA